rnacentral:sRNA from 1 species
UACGAAUUGAAGUCAUUGAGAAUUUCU